rnacentral:rRNA from 1 species
UACGUAGGGUGCAAGCGUUGUCCGGAAUUAUUGGGCGUAAAGAGCUCGUAGGCGGUUUGUCGCGUCGAAUGUGAAAUCCCGGGGCUCAACCCCGGGUCUGCAUUCGAUACAGGCAGACUAGAGUUCGGUAGGGGAGUCUGGAAUUCCUGGUGUAGCGGUGAAAUGCGCAGAUAUCAGGAGGAACACCGGUGGCGAAGGCGGGACUCUGGGCCGAUACUGACGCUGAGGAGCGAAAGCGUGGGGAGCAAACAGG